rnacentral:rRNA from 1 species
GGGAAUCUACCCAGAUCUACGGAACAACAGUUGGAAACGACUGCUAAUACCGUAUACGCCCUACGGGGGAAAGAUUUAUCGGAUUUGGAUGAGCCCGCGUAAGAUUAGCUAGUUGGUGAGGUAAUGGCUCACCAAGGCGACGAUCUUUAGCUGGUCUGAGAGGAUGAUCAGCCACACUGGGACUGAGACACGGCCCAGACUCCUACGGGAGGCAGCAGUGGGGAAUAUUGGACAAUGGGCGCAAGCCUGAUCCAGCCAUGCCGCGUGAGUGAUGAAGGCCUUAGGGUUGUAAAGCUCUUUCAGUGGGGAAGAUAAUGACGGUACCCACAGAAGAAGCCCCGGCUAACUUCGUGCCAGCAGCCGCGGUAAUACGAAGGGGGCUAGCGUUGUUCGGAUUUACUGGGCGUAAAGCGCACGUAGGCGGUUUGUUAAGUCAGAGGUGAAAUCUCGGAGCUCAACUCCGGAACUGCCUUUGAUACUGGCAAGCUAGAGUCCGGAAGAGGUGAGUGGAACUCCUAGU